UCCGAGUUGACCCCGGCAGUCUCCUAUGAGUCCCCACCAUCACGUGCUGGCAACAUAGGACGAGGGUUGCGCUCGUUGCGGGACUUAACCCAACAUCUCACGACACGAGCUGACGACAACCAUGCACCACCUGUGUACGACCCUUACGGACCCCGCAUCUCUGCGAGAUUUCCGUGCAUGUCAAGCCUAGGUAAGGUUCUUCGCGUUGCAUCGAAUUAAGCAACAUGCUCCGCCGCUUGUGCGGGCCCCCGUCAAUUCCUUUGAGUUUCAGCCUUGCGGCCGUACUCCCCAGGCGGGGCACUUAAUGCGUUAGCGCCGGCACCCAAGGGGUCGCUCCCUCAAGCACCUAGUGCCCAUCGUUUACGGCGUGGACUAC
rnacentral:misc_RNA from 1 species